GCAACAGCCCUGGAACCUGAAAUCCUCUAUUAAGCCACAAAGCAAGUGCAGCACCAGAAGGAGCAGUGCCCACGCUGUCCCACCAAUAUCCCUCAACCCUUGAGCUGGAGGAGACCACCUCUAAGGAUGAGAGAGAGGUAGUUCAGUCUCUAGGCCAGUUCAUUCCUUGGUCUUU
rnacentral:sRNA from 1 species